ACUCAACAAUAAGCGGAGGAAAAGAAACUAACAAGGAUUCCCCUAGUAACUGCGAGUGAAGCGGGAAAAGCUCAAAUUUAAAAUCUGGUAGUCUUUGGCUGCCCGAGUUGUAAUCUAGAGAAGCGUUAUCCGCGCUGGACCGUGUAUAAGUCUCCUGGAAUGGAGCGUCAUAGAGGGUGAGAAUCCCGUCUUUAACACGGACUCCCAGGGCUUUGUGAUGCGCUCUCAAAGAGUCGAGUUGUUUGGGAAUGCAGCUCUAAAUGGGUGGUAAAUUCCAUCUAAAGCUAAAUAUUGGCGAGAGACCGAUAGCGAACAAGUACCGUGAGGGAAAGAUGAAAAGAACUUUGGAAAGAGAGUUAAACAGUACGUGAAAUUGUUGAAAGGGAAACGCUUGAAGUCAGUCGCGUUGAUCAGGGAUCAACCUUGCUUUUGCUUGGUGUACUUCCUGGUUAACGGGUCAGCAUCAAUUUUGACCAGUGGAAAAAGGUCAGGGGAAUGUGGCAUCUUCGGAUGUGUUAUAGCCUCUGGUCAUAUACAUUGGUUGGGAUUGAGGAACUCAGCACGCCGCAAGGCCGGGUUUUACCACGUUCGUGCUUAGGAUGCUGGCAUAAUGGCUUUAAUCGACCCGUCUUGAAACACGGACCAAGGAGUCUAACAUGCCUGCGAGUGUUUGGGUGGAAAACCCAUGCGCGUAAUGAAAGUGAAAGUUGGGAUCCCUGUCGUGGGGAGCACCGACGCCCGGACCAGACCUUCUGUGACGGAUCCGCGGUAGAGCAUGUAUGUUGGGACCCGAAAGAUGGUGAACUAUGCCUGAAUAGGGUGAAGCCAGAGGAAACUCUGGUGGAGGCUCGUAGCGAUUCUGACGUGCAAAUCGAUCGUCGAAAUUUGGGUAUAGGGGCGAAAGACUAAUCGAACCAUCUAGUAGCUGGUUCUGCG
rnacentral:rRNA from 1 species